CUCAAACCACAAUCACAGUUGUUGGUUCCAGAAACAUCUUCUUUGGAAAAACAUGUGACAUCAGUUUCCUCAGAGUCUCCCGGACAAUCCAGUCACGCAGAACUGACAAAACCUUGUCCAGUAAGAAGAUACUUUCUUCCGUAAUUCAAGAUAAAGAAAAUUACAAUCUCUGCUGUCCAUUCCAUCGCUUUUCCCUUCAGAAUCAUAAUCAGAGAAUCCUUGCAGAACGUCGUGAGUGUGCUCUCAGCUGCAAUCACCAGAAGGACUCUUCACACUCGGUGAGUCCUCCUCAUUUUAUAGAAGCCAAAGCAGUGACGUAUGCUCACCCCUCCCGCCCCCAGGAGAGAGGUUGCUGGCCAAUGAGCUUGAGCUUCGUCAUCCUUCCAAGCCCCACCCAGUUCCUUUGCUUCCCUUUCACCAACUUUGACUGAAAUGAAUAGGUUACAACCUUUAGCUUUCUGCCCCUUGGAAAACGGAAGCAUUUAGACAUCCGUAUUAAUAUUUGGAUCUAGAGUGUUCGUGUUUUAGCACUUCCUUUUUUGAAAGGAGAAGCAGACGUGUUGUGUUUUUAGGAACACUU
rnacentral:lncRNA from 1 species